rnacentral:lncRNA from 1 species
GUUGGCGAAGUUUCUUUAUGUCAAUUUCCGUGCUUCCUUCUUAAUGAGAGGGUGACGCAGGUCGGCUAAAGUUUGCUUUUGGUUUUUUAUUUGCUCCAGCGUUUGCUCAUACACUGCUUGUUCGGCUGCGGGUACAUUGAGAUCAAAAGAAGGUUGCUUUGAAGAACUAGCACCACUUCGAUCGUCUCCGGCGGAAGCCUAUCCCACCUAAAUAAAAUCCAUG